rnacentral:rRNA from 1 species
AGUGAACGCUGGCGGUAGGCCUAACACAUGCAAGUCGAACGGCAGCACAGUAAGAGCUUGCUCUUACGGGUGGCGAGAGGCGGACGGGUGAGGAAUACAUCGGAAUCUACUUUUUCGUGGGGGAUAACGUAGGGAAACUUACGCUAAUACUGCAUACGACCUACGGGUGAAAGCAGGGGAUCUUCGGACCUUGCGCGAUUGAAUGAGCCGAUGUCGGAUUAGCUAGUUGGCGGGGUAAAGGCCCACCAAGGCGACGAUCCGUAGCUGGUCUGAGAGGAUGAUCAGCGACACUGGAACUGAGACACGCACCAGAGUCCUACGGCAGGGAGCAGUGGGUAAUAUUAGACAAUGGGCGGAAGCCUGAUCCAACCAUACCGCGUGGGUGGAGACGGCCUUCGGGUUGUAAAGCCCGUUUGUUGGGAAAGAAAAGCAGCAGGUUAAUACCCCGCUGUUUUGACGGUACCCAAAGAAUAAGCACCGGCUAACUUCGUG